rnacentral:lncRNA from 1 species
CAACAACCAAACGAAAAAGAAAAUGGCGGGCACAAGAGCAGCAGUGAUGAAGUUGGCGGUCGUCCUCGUGGCCAUGAGCCAGCUCGUCCACAUGGCGACCCCAGCGGCGGAUCCGACGACUGAGUCGUCUCUACUGGUCACGAGCGUUUCCGGCACUUCCGACGGUCAGUCAUCUCCUCAAGUUGAUACUAGUACUGUAUUUAGCUUGGUCAACUAGUUAGCUAGCUACAAGAAACUGAGAUAGUUAAUCUUCGUCUUGGCCAGGGGAAGUCGAUCCUAAACCCAGCCACAUCAGGGAAGAGAAGGUGUUGCUCUAUGCGCCCAAGCCCAGCAUCCCUGUCCCUCCACCCCCUCCCCACCUCGUCCUACCGUGCAAGGGAAGAGCGUGUUGACCUCACGGCCGGGAACGAUCAAAGUCAAGUGCAGCUGGAGCUCCAAGUGACCAAAACAAAAACAACAAAAGUCCCUAGCUUCCUCUGUAUUGCAUUCAAUGUUGACUGCCGUACUCGGUCGUUAUGAUCGACUGAUGGAAUAAAAUAAGCGCGACCUUGUUUAUA